rnacentral:lncRNA from 1 species
UACCUUGUACAUCUCUUGCUAAGCAGAUGAUUCCUAACUUUAACGGAUAGAAUGUGAUGAUCUAAACUUCAUUUUUGGCAAGUGUUUCGUAAUUGACUUGAAAAAUAAUGUUAAAGAUAAUAUAUGUAGCACUCUCAGUUCAAAUGUUGUCUUUGUGGAAGAUAUAUUUAUUGUAGCUUGUGACUGAACAUGGAUUCUCUGAUGCUGAUUAAAUGACAAGGGAACAAUAUUGUAAAACUUAAUUAGAACUUGCCAUUUGAUUUUUAACCAUAAAAAAUACACUUCACCCUAGAUGAGGUUUGGUAAUCCAGGCUUGUUAUACUCCAGAUAUUAGUAAACCUCAUUAAACAACCGCUCUGUUGCAUAUAUAUCAAGGCUUGCUUUAUUAAAUAAACAAAGGUGUAAUGUAUUUUC